rnacentral:tmRNA from 1 species
GGGGGUGACCGGACUCGACGGGAACACCGAGGCCGAGGUAGCAAGCGGAGCUCCCGUUCGCUCCUAAAACCACGGGAACGGCAAAAUAAAUGCCGACUACGCUUACGUUCCUGCUUACGCCCUGAACUAGUGCGUAAGCCGUCCGCGGUCCCCUCGCCCGCGGGGGAUCGUUGGGCGUGACCCAAGCGGGCUAGCCCAAGGGCCCUGGCCCCGGGGCCGAGGGCGAGAACUUAUGGGGCUUGGGGCCGAGCGAUCCUGCCCGUGGGAGCGCGAGGCCCGAGAGGAAAAACACGGGCUAAGCUUGUAGAGGCCGAGGCCAAGGUGUUUUCGGACGGGGGUUCAACUCCCCCCACCUCCACCA